AUAGAAUUAAAGUUGUUGCCUAUUUCAUUUUUUUUCUUCUUUCUAUUGCAUUAUAUAUCACUCUCCAUUUUUCCUUUGUUUCUAUAAAGCUUCUAUUAUUUGCUUCGCAAAUUCUACUUGUUUAUGUGAGUUUUGUUGACCAUAAAGAUUCACAAGAAGUUUUUAUAUACAAGGAAGCUGAGAUAAAUAUAUAGAAGAUGUAUGUAAUAGUGAUUUCAUUGCCUUUGAUUAUAUUGGUAUUGAUAGUAGCCAUUGUUUGUUACAUGUGUGGAAGAUCAAGGGGUUGCUGCUGAUUAUUCACUUCAAAAUACUUUAUUAUGUCUCUCUUAUUCGGCGAAGCUAAAAAUCUGUAUACGAAUUUAGCUGAAUUUAAUAAUUUUUGUUUAAAUAGUAUAUUGUAUUAAUAACUUUAUUAUAGAUGUAUUAAUUAUAUAAUUCAAUUAUUUAACUUUGAAACAUUGUUAUAAAAUUCAGAAUCUAUAAAGUUGAAUUUUAUGUUUCA